UCCAGUUUAGUCCCAAAACUAGAAGUCGUUUAUUUGUUUAGAUUAAAAGUAUCCACAUUGCUAGCAUUUACUAAUGCCAACUCAGGAAAGCAACCUUAAUUCUGACUUGUUACGAAACCUAGUGGACCGUUUGGACUCGUUUCAGCCAGCCGUUUAUUUGUUUGGUUUAAAUGUAUCCACAAUGCUAGUAUUUACUAAUGGCAAGUUGGGAGUGACAGCCUAACUUCUGACCUGUUAUGAGACAUGUCAGACCGUUUGGACCUGGUUUUCACCAUGUCCUGUUUACCAAAACGAAUAGUUGUAUACUUGGUUGGUUUAAAAUUAUCCGCAAUGCUAGCAUUUACCAAUGUCAAGUUGGGAGAGGCAGCCUAAUUCUGACCUGUUAUGAGAUGUCUCUGACCUGUGUUUUUGACCCUAUCCAGUUUAGUCCCAAAUUGUGUUUGGUUUAAAAGCAUCCGCAUGUUAGCAUCUUCAGCUGGUGGUGGUUCUGGAGUUUAGAAAAGUGACAUAACCUAACCCAUUUAUAUGCUUAAAAAGAUUUUUGAUGCAUGCAAGAACAAGAGUUUAUGCUGCCUAAGAUUACUAUUGAAGGUUGAUGGCCAGUUGGGAAAGGCAGCGUAACUUCUGACCCGUUAUGAGACAUGUUGGACUGUUUGGACUUGAUUUUGACGAUAUCCAGUUUUGUCCCAAACAUUCGUUAUAGAGAUAGACUUGCAAUAAUUUGAGGAAAUCAUGUGAGCCGGCAGAUCAUUAAAAUCCACAGAUGGACCUGCGUAUAGAUUCUCCUGGACCUGUCUUCCUUCUGUGCAGCAAGUAUCUGAUGAAUACUUGGCCCGCUUUCGCUUAUUAAUGACAGGUGGUGCUGGGAGCUAGAUCAAGACAUCUCUUUUUCGGUGAAAACUGAAAAGCAUCAAAAGGCAACUGGAAGCUCAGCUACGUUCCUCUGUUGAAGCAUCAUUUUUUGGAAUAAUAGGGUGCCCAAAAAGGUAUGUUUAUGGCUUGGAGAGCAGACCUUGAGAGGCUGCCUACUCUCGUCGCACUAGCAAGCUGAAUUAUCCAGGUGCACUCCUUAUUAUGUUUGUUUUGUGGCAUUCACGUGGAGACUGCUGAUCAUAUUUUUGUGUCUUGUUCAAUGGCUCAGGAUGUUUGGAAUAAUAUCUCAGAUUGGUGUAGAAUCUUUUUAUCUGGGAUAAAAGAUCUUGCGCAACUGAUUUAUUCCAGGUCGUCUAAAUGGAAAAAAAAUAUUCACACAAUAUUAUGCACAGCUGCUUGGGUCUUAUGGAAGGGUAGAAAUAACAGAUUUUUAAUCACAAAGUUGCAAGUGUUCCUGGUUAUUGGUAAGAUCAAAGUAUCAAGUUUUGUUUGGGUUACAAUUAUGGGAUAGAUGGAAAAGCUUCCACCUAGCCAAUUUGUCGAUAUAACUUACAGUUUAGUUUAUGCUCCGGUGUCUGUUGUUGUAAUAUAGAUCCCCUUGUACCAGUAACUUGCUUGUAUAGUAAUAAAAGCAUUUUGCCCUUUUAAAAAUA